rnacentral:rRNA from 1 species
GAUGAACGCUGGCGGCGUGCCUAAUACAUGCAAGUCGAGCGAACAGACGAGGAGCGUGCUCCUCUGACGUUAGCGGCGGACGGGGGAGUAACACGUGGAUAACCUACCUAUACGACUGGGAUAACUUCGGGAAACCGGAGCUAAUACCGGAUAAUAUAUUGAACCGCAUGGUUCAAUAGUGAAAGACGGUUUUGCUGUCACUUAUAGAUGGAUCCGCGCCGCAUUAGCUAGUUGGUAAGGUAACGGCUUACCAAGGCAACGAUGCGUAGCCCACCUGAGAGGGAGAUCGCGUAACGCGGAACAGAGCUACAGUCCACACUCCGCCUAGGGGACGCAGUCGGGAAUCCUCCGGAAGGCACGAAAGCAGAACGGAGCACACCCGGGUGAAUGAUGAUAGUCUCCGGAUCGGAGAACGCUGUUAUUAGGAAGGUUCUAAAGUUUAUGUAUCUUUGCAGAUAUUGACGGUACCUGAUGAGAAAGCCACGGCUAACUGCGUG